rnacentral:rRNA from 1 species
UGGAGCAUGUGGUUAAUUCGAAGCAACGCGAGAACCUUACCAAGUCUUGACAUCCCGAUGCUAUUCUAGAGAUAGAAAGUUACUUCGGUACAUCGGUGACAGGUGGUGCAUGGUGUCGUCAGCUCGUGUCGUGAGAUGUUGGGUUAAGUCCCGCAACGAGCGCAACCCCUAUUGUUAGUUGCCAUCAUUCAGUUGGGCACUCUAGCGAGACUGCCGGUAAUAAACCGGAGGAAGGUGGGGAUGACGUCAAAUCAUCAUGCCCCUUAUGACCUGGGCUACACACGUGCUACAAUGGUUGGUACAACGAGUUGCGAGUCGGUGACGGCGAGCUAAUCUCUUAAAAGCCAAUCUCAGUUCGGAUUGUAGGCUGCAACUCGCCUACAUGAAGUCGGAAUCGCUAGUAAUCGCGGAUCAGCACGCCGCGGUGAAUACGUUCCCGGGCCCU